UUGUACGUCUUCAGGCGGUGGGGGAAGAGAAGUGGGGCCGCCUGAAGGGAGGGGCGGACUGGGUGGGCCAAGGAUGAGCUUCAGGGGAACUCACAUGAGUCUGGGGACAGUGCGGCGAGUCUCCUUACGUGAGCACCCCAAAGGAUCGUAUGCGCGCAGAUCCCGAAUCGUGAUUCUAGCUGAACCGGGGGGACUACAUUUCUCCUAUGCAAACAACUAUCCUUAUGAUGAGUGGUGAUCCUAUUUGACAGAGCCCAAAAUUCAUUGCAGAAUCAUCUGUCUCCUGGGAACAUAUCAUCUACCUAGAUAAGAGCAUGUUUCACCAUAUGUCAAAAAAAUUAUCUUUGAAAUAUAUGGAGAGAAUUCAGGAGCAAAACCAUAGAGGAUAUGACAAAACUCUUGCGCCCAAAACAAGAAAGAUGUUAACAUCUGAAGACCAGGAAAUUUGCUGUGAGUUUGUGACUAAAAGAACUGGAAGGUAAGCUUUAUCUUUACUUCAAGAAUAUGGCUGCCUACACAAGACCAGAACUAGGAAGACAUCAGUGCACACAGUGUACAUGUUAAAGUGGAAUGGGUAAAUCUCAAGGGUCCCAGCCCUAGACAAAGAACCACAAGCAAAUAAGACAUGAUGAAAGCAUGAGAAUUAAUCUCUCUGGGGGCUGAGUCCCAUAAUUAGUUUAUCCAAUAUCAAGUGAUCAGCUCUGAAAUUGUAUAACUAGAAGCAACACUAUAUGUAUUCAGCAGAUUGUAUUUACAUAUUUAUGCGCUUAUACAUGUAUAUGUAACAAGAACAAGUUAAAAGCAGCCAUAAAUUUUAGCGGGAGCAAGAAGAAGAAAUGGAAGCUAUAA
rnacentral:sRNA from 1 species